CAGCGUAUAACUUAGUGGUUAGAGCGUUUGAAAAGUUAGUUUCCAAAAGGCGCGGAUUCAAAUCUCGCUUCGUUAA
rnacentral:tRNA from 1 species